AUGACAGCUCCAGAUGCUUCUCCAGAUUGUAUUAGCUCUGGACAGAAGCUGGAGAAAGAGCUGUGUAUGAAAAAUCACCGUCAGAUUGUAUUAUCAGCAUCUGCAAGUCCUGAUUUGUGGAUAACAAUCACAACAGCAGUUUUCCUUUUAUAUCAUGGUGAUGGACAUUUCCUAGAAGAACAUGAAUCCUUUGGACCCCACAUGAAGGACUACUAUGAAUAUCAGUAGGGUUACUUUUUUUGCUGGGUUACAAUUUAAUGCUGCGAAAUGUCCAUGUAAUGAGGACUUCAAAAGCUAAGGUCAACUUGAGAUCAACAGACACAUCAUGGCUUAAGUUGGCCUCAGACAAACUCUGCUGUUUCUGCUCCUAUCUGUUACAGAAAAAAUAUAGGCUGAAAAAAUGUUCUAUUCCUACUUAUAACCCUUGAGUUCUUUGUUGAGGCUCGCAAAAAUAACAACAAUACUGACUGAAGCAUGGUCAAGC
rnacentral:lncRNA from 1 species